GGAUGAGCUUGCGGAGCUCAGCGAAGGCGGUGUUGACGUUGUGCUGGCGCCAGCGCUCCCUCGUGUUGGUGAAAACCUUCCUGGUCAUGGUGGAUUACAGAAAAACCUCCCCCCACGAUUUUCAAGAAACUUGGUAGAAGGGUGAAGCAUGGGCUAAUGAAGAACCUUAACAUUUUGGAGCGGAUCCAACACACAGGCCUGGCAUGGACAGCCCACCGUACCCUGCACCAUGGAAAAGACCUUGAUAUCACUGCCUGCUCUGCUAUUGAAUUCAGCCUGAUUGGGCCACAAAAGCUGGUUUUAAAAGAAAGAACCAGGAGUGAGGCUGCAGUCACACAUACACAUAUGCAGGUGAUGAUCAUCACCUGAAGAGGUGAAAUGUGGGCAGUACAAGAUGUGACAAAUGAAAUGAAAAAUGUGAAUUUGC